UUAUUACAAUGCAGAGUUGCCUUUAAGGCAUAAUUCUUGUUACGUCUGUGUGUAUUAUCACUUCGCAUGCAGAAAGAGUGUCAACUCCCCUACCGGUUGCGCCACUUCAGCCUGUGACAGUAUUUAUUGUGGGGGUCACUGUUUGAAUCAUUGGCAGCAUCAACAGCCGCAGCGUCGGCCUCGUAAGAAGCCGAUGGAAAAUCCAAGAUUUCCGUGCAGGUUCUGCCCCCAGGUGUUCACAUUCCGCAGCUUCCUACUGAGACACGAGCGGACGCACACUGGUGAAAGGCCAUUCGAAUGCAGCCUGUGUGGCAUGACGUUCAGACUGAAGCACCACUUGGUCUCCCAUGCGUCCAGGCACAGGAUCCCAGCCAAUUCAUAAAAAAUGGCCUUGCUCCGCUGCAGUCCAGCACAGGAACAGCUAAUUGUU
rnacentral:lncRNA from 1 species